GCAAUUCAAAAUAACGUUAUGUCAAAUUAUUUCUGAAAUGUAUACUUUUCCUCAGGAUUGAAAUGAAUGAUGAACCAAAUACCAUUUGUAUUAUCGCAAAUCUCAUCACAUUCUUCAAGCUGCUGAGUUAGUACUAUCAGAAAAAGAGUAAAUGUAAAGUUAUCAGUUAUACAAAAUGACGUUUUGAGUACAUGUGGAACACCAUCAUCAAGUACUCAGUUCACUACGAGAAAGCUACUGUAUUAGCAAAACAUGUGAUAUAUUUAUUCAAAUGAAGUUUGUGGAGAUCAAAUCAUAAGGUGUAUAGUUUAUGAAAUUUUAAUGUGCUCGUUUGGCUCCAUAUCUCCAUAUUUAUUCUAUUGUUUUGUAUUAUUUACUGAUCGAUAAAGAAUUUUAUACUCUGAAUAUUGA